UACAGAGGGUGCGAGCGUUAAUCGGAAUUACUGGGCGUAAAGGGCGCGUAGGCGGUUAUUUAAGUUAGAUGUGAAAUCCCUGGGCUUAACCUAGGAACUGCAUCUGAUACUGGAUAGCUGGAGUGCGGUAGAGGGUAGUGGAAUUUCCGGUGUAGCGGUGAAAUGCGUAGAUAUCGGAAGGAACACCAGUGGCGAAGGCGGCUACCUGGACUGACACUGACGCUGAGGAGCGAAAGCAUGGGGAGCGAACAGG
rnacentral:rRNA from 1 species